rnacentral:rRNA from 1 species
UACGGAGGGUGCAAGCGUUAUCCGGAUUCACUGGGUUUAAAGGGUGCGUAGGCGGCCUGUUAAGUCAGGGGUGAAAGACGGUAGCUCAACUAUCGCAGUGCCCUUGAUACUGAUGGGCUUGAAUGUACUUGAGGUAGGCGGAAUGUGACAAGUAGCGGUGAAAUGCAUAGAUAUGUCACAGAACACCAAUUGCGAAGGCAGCUUACUAAGGUAUGAUUGACGCUGAGGCACGAAAGCGUGGGGAUCAAACAGG